rnacentral:rRNA from 1 species
UGCCGCGUGCAGGAUGACGGUCCUAUGGAUUGUAAACGGCUUUUGUACAGGAAGAAACAUCUCUACGUGUAGAGACUUGACGGGACUGUACCAAUAAAGAUCGGCUAACUCCGUGCCAUCCCCCGCGGUAAUACGGAGGAUCCGAGCGUUAUCCGGAAUCAUUGGGUUGAAAGGGUCCGUAGGCGGUUUAGUAAGUCAGUGGUGAAAGCCCAUCGCUCGACGGUGGAACGGCCCUUGAUACUGCUGAGCUUGAAUUAUUAGGAAGUAACUAGAAUAUGUAGUGUAGCGGUGAAAUGCUUAGAGAUUACAUGGAAUACCAAUUGCGAAGGCAGGUUACUACUAAGGGAUUGACCCUGAUGGACGAAAGCAUGGGUAGCGAACAGGAUUAGAUACCCUGGUAGUCCACGCCGUAAACUAUGGAUACUAGCUGUUGGGAGCGAUCUCAGUGGCUAAGCGAAAGUGAUAAGUAUCCCACCUGGGGAGUACGUUCACAAGAAUGAAACUCAUAGGAAUUGACGGGGGCCCGCACAACCGGUGGAGCAUGUGGAUUAAUUCGAUGAUACGCGAGGAACCUUACCAAGGCUUAAAUGUAGAUUGACCGAU